rnacentral:rRNA from 1 species
UACAAAGGGGGCUAGCGUUGUUCGGAAUUACUGGGCGUAAAGCGAACGUAGGCGGUGUUCCAUGUCAGAGGUGAAAGCCUGGGGCUCAACUCCAGAAUUGCCUUUGAAACGGGGACGCUUGAGUCCGAGAGAGGAUGGCGGAAUUCCUAGUGUAGAGGUGAAAUUCGUAGAUAUUAGGAAGAACACCGGUGGCGAAGGCGGCCAUCUGGCUCGGUACUGACGCUCAGGUUCGAAAGCGUGGGGAGCAAACAGG